rnacentral:lncRNA from 1 species
UCACAAAAACUACAACCAACCAAAACACAAUAUCAUGCACAUUAGGAUGAAUAGCCCAAAAGUAAACCUUGAACAACAUGAACACAAGAACAAGUAUAGAAAACAUGUGUAUACAAUACAUCUACAUAUCUCUAAUAUAGGGCAUGAUUUGGACAGCCCCAAGUACUUCACAGCCACCAAAAUUAGCUUUGGAUCCCAUUUGUUUACCCAAACACUUCUCCACCAAUAGAUCUAAAGCCACAAAAAAUCCAGAUCAAGGGGUAGAUCCAUGGAUUUCCUUGAGCACCUCAUAAAAAAUAAUGGAUCUGUACCUCAUCAUGAAGUUGGGAGAUAUAAUUACUCACCAAUGCCAUCCAUUACAUAAAAAUAGCAUAUUGUUCCCUUUCUUUUCUACUGUUUCUUCCUCGUAAUGACUCCGCGCCCAC